GCAUAGCUGGGUAGCUAUGUGUGGACGGGAUAAGUGCUGAAAGCAUCUAAGCAUGAAGCCCCCCUCAAGAUGAGAUUUCCCAACUUCGGUUAUAAGAUCCCUCAAAGAUGAUGAGGUUAAUAGGUUCGAGGUGGAAGCAUGGUGACAUGUAGAGCUGACGAAUACUAAUCGAUCGAAGACUUAAUCAAAA
rnacentral:rRNA from 1 species